UACGUAGGGGGCUAGCGUUGUCCGGAUUUAUUGGGCGUAAAGAGCGUGUAGGCGGCCAGGUAGGUCUGGUGUGAAAACUCGAGGCUUAACCUCGAGAUGUCAUCGGAAACCAUUUGGCUAGAGUCCGGAAGAGGAGAGUGGAAUUCCUGGUGUAGCGGUGAAAUGCGCAGAUAUCAGGAAGAACACCAAUGGCGAAAGCAGCUCUCUGGGACGUAACUGACGCUGAGACGCGAAAGCGUGGGGAGCAAACAGG
rnacentral:rRNA from 1 species